CUGAAAUUUCAGAAUUAACAAUAUUAUAUUGUUGUUGUUUGUAAAUUAAUAUCAAACUAUUUAUUGACUACCAGUGUUUCCUUCACCUUCAAAAUAACCAUUUAUUACCUUUUAUGUAGAAAGUAUAAGACUAACAGUGUAGACUAGUUUGUUAAAAACUUUAUUAACACUUUAUUUUCACGGUAGUUUUAUUUUUUUCUGAGAAAAUUUUUUUUUAGUGUUUUUUCCCCGGUUUCAAUUUGAAAGCGUAGAAGCGUUUUCUAUCCUCGUUAAAUUAUUUAACUGGUUUCUAUACUGUAUGUUUACAAAAAAAAUGACACACACUCCAAUCAACGUACCAAAAUCUUUUGAAUCAAACAAACGUGCAGGCAUUUGCACAAGCUUUAUGUUACUAGCAUUUUCAACUGCUACUUGGACAUUCUUUACUACGCCUAGGCGUACAGAAUGGUAUGACAUUCUUUUGGACUACUCCCAUCAUAAACGACAUCAAUGCUGUUUUUUCAAAUCUAAAAUAAAUCCAUUAUACAGCCUACCUUUUUUAAAGAAAUUUGUAAAGUAACGUGAAUAUGAAUGACUUUUAAAAUAAAAAUCUUUAUUUUACUAUAAAUAAACAAAAAAGAAUGUUUAAUUUUUUUUGUUUUAAUUAAUUUUCUGAUGUACCUUUGACGUGAACGUACAACCAAGUUUAGAUGAACAA